GACAGAGGCCUCAAGCGUUAGGCGGAAUCACUGGGCUUAAAGCGUGUGUAGGCGGAUCGUUAAGUGUCUCGUGAAAUCCCACGGCUCACCCGUGGAACUGCUGGGCAUACUGGCGAUCUUGGGCCAACUAGGGGCAACUGGAACAAGCGGUGGAGCGGUGAAAUGCGUAGAUAUCGCUUGGAACGCCAACGGUGAAAACAGGUUGCUGGGGUUGUGCCGACGCUGAGACACGAAAGCCAGGGGAGCAAACGGG
rnacentral:rRNA from 1 species